UUUCUAACAGGCAUGUAUACAGCAAAGGAACUGCUGUAAUUGAAUAAGUCCUUACUGACAGCAGCAUUACUAUAUCAUCUAGUGUAGUGAUAGUCACUCCUGCACAGAGAAGGGCCCAGUCCAGCACGUUUAUACACAAUAAACAAUCCUCAGUGAGGAAAGACUGGAACCAAUGGUAAUAAAGACCAAUUAAGAGAACAACUGAUCCAAAUUAAACCAUAAAAAGGCCAGAGUGGAAUGAAGACCAGGAGACAUGGUGGAUUCCAGGACUGGCAGUGAAUAUUGGUGACUUUGAGUGUGAGAGACCUCUAAACCCAACUGCUUCUGCAUGUGGGUUACUGUGACCAGUAGGUGGACAUUAGGAAUCUGGAGUGUUCUGGAGAAUUGGCUCUGCAUUGGAAGACGGACACUCAGAGGCCCGCCUACCAUCAAGUCGCCCUACAUCCAUAGCUUGAAGGCACAGGCCUCCUAACGGCGUCCUGACCCAGCUGAGUCCGGGGCUCAGAGCACCUGGCCUCGUCGCUCCGUUUUUAAUCUCCUUGUACCAUGUCCCUGCUUUUUAAUCGUCUUGUCUCGGAUGGAUCCCCCGGUUUUGGACUUUGGACUGCACCCCGGAUUCCCCCUUUUGGACUGUCUGGACCUUUUUGCCAUCGCCACGCCCCCCCUGAGCACCGGAUCAUUGUCACACCCCCCUGUCUGUCAACCCAUCCUGAUCCUCUUCGUCUCCUCUCCUCCGGAUUAUACCGUCUGCAUAGGGCCCUGAACUAAGCUUCGCGGGAGGGAGCCUAGACCGGCUCCUGUUACAAUAGGUCCCCUCGUGUACAUAGAUUUGGGAGUCUUUGGAAUGAAAAGUGGACAGGACAGGCCUGGCAAAUUGACACAGUGGGCAGUGGUCAGCAUUGCUGCCUUGCAGUGAUGGGUCCUGGAUUCAAUUCCGGGGGUGUUGUCUGGGUGGAGCCUGCAUGGUCUUUUGGUGUUUGAAUGGGUUUCAUCUGGGACCCUGAAUGAGAUAAAAUGGAUGGAUGGCAUAUGGCACAAACAUAAGGAUAUAAUAUUGUUACCUUUAUAGACCAGAAAUAAUGUAUAGGUUGUGUUAUUACUAUGAUAAUCUUAAAAAUAUAAUUAGCAUUUGUGGAAAGUCAUUAGCAAACUUGUUUUCUUGAAAAAUUGCAUACAAGAGCCCUUCUUAUUGCACUAGUCUCCAAGCCAAACACCUGUGUUAUUAGUAUCUUCAUUUUUUUUUUAAACCCGCACUAGACGGACUCAGGAAAUUACAAAUAAUUUUAACAUACAACUUCACUGCUGUGAUCUGGAGUCUUUUCUUGUGUAUGUAGAAGAAGAUGGGGAAAAAUGAAUGCAAUUAUGGGAUUUGGAACAAAGCCACGUGUAAACACAGCUGUGUGACUUUUCCUUUUAAGAAAUUUUAAAGAGGACAACGUACAUUUUGAAAUUUACCAAGAUGCUAGAGUCAAGGUUAUUGUAGCCAUUAGGCUGGAAAAACCGGACAUGCUGAAUCAGAACGGAUUUUAGCUGAUCUAGGGCUGACAGACCGUAAUCAACGAGUACAUUUAACUUUUUGUAGAAUAAUCGUUCGUUUUGAUUAGGAUCAUAAUAUUAUCUUAUUUUAAAAAACAAAUUUAAAUUAACAUCUACAUCAUUUUAAGAUGUAAUUAUUUGAAAGUUAUUUUAUCUGUUGAAUAGUAAUCUAUAGCCCUGAUUCAUAGUGGCCCAAAUACAACCUGAACAACUUUUCUCAGUCUGAUGAGUGGAAGAACCCAUCCGAUACUGUUAAGUAACACACGAAAUUUUUUUAAAAAAAGUACACUUGAUAUGAAAGUAUUUUAGUGACGCUAACGUUGUGUGCUAGUUUUUAUGU